rnacentral:rRNA from 1 species
AUUGAACGCUGGCGGCAUGCCUUACACAUGCAAGUCGAACGGUAACAGGUCUUCGGAUGCCGACGAGUGGCGAACGGGUGAGUAAUACAUCGGAACGUGCAUAGUAGUGGAGGAUAACUAAUCGAAAGAGUGGCUAAUACCGCAUGAGAUCUACGGAUGAAGGCAGGGGAGCGCAAGAAAUUAUGCUACGAGAGAGGACGAUGGCAGAUUAGGUAGUUGGUUGGAUAAAAGCUUACCAAGCCGACGAUCUGUAGCUGGUCUGAGAGGACGAUCAGCCACACUGGAACUGAGACACGGCCCAGACUCCUACGGGAGGCAGCAGUGGGGAAUUUUGGACAAUGGGCGCAAGCCUGAUCCAGCAAUGCCGCGUGCAGGAUGAAGGCCUUCGGGUUGUAAACUGCUUUUGUACGGAACGAAAAGCCCUGGGUUAAUACCCUGGGGUCAUGACGGUACCGUAAGAAUAAGCACCGGCUAACUACGUGCCAGCCGCCGCCGUAAAAC